CAGUAGCCGCGGUAAUACGUAGGUGGCAAGCGUUGUCCGGAAUUAUUGGGCAUAAAGGGCUCGCAGGCGGUUUCUUAAGUCUGAUGUGAAAGCCACCGGCUCAACCGGGGAGGGUCAUUGGAAACUGGGAAACUUGAGUGCAGAAGAGGAGAGUGGAAUUCCACGUGUAGCGGUGAAAUGCGUAGAGAUGUGGAGGAACACCAGUGGCGAAGGCGACUCUCUGGUCUGUAACUGACGCUGAGGAGCGAAAGCGUGGGGAGCGAACAGGAUUAGAUACCCCAGUAGUCCCUGUCUCUUAUAC
rnacentral:rRNA from 1 species